AACGUCUACAGGAGACGGAGAGGGAGAGGGAGAGGGAGAGGGAGAGGGAGAAAAGGGUCGACAAUCGUCAACCAUCGCGAUCCACCGGCCUCCAUCCUCCGCUGCGCGAUCGAUUGGUUGGUCAAGGCGAGCGAUGUAGCAUCCACCUUCGAUCUUGGCCGUGCUCCCACCUCGACCCCAAAACUGAUCGGUGCCAGCAUUGGCCGGCGGCGGCUCAAAACAACCAACCAACUUCCACGGCAGGUAACAGGGCGGCGUUUGGCUCUUCGCGUCGCCCUCCCGUCAUUAUUACUAGUAGUUGUUGCUUCGAUUUAUGUCGAUCUUGUUCCGAUUCGAACAGGAUUCAGGGUAUGCAGGGCAAUGAUUGAGUUAUUUGAUAUCAAAAGGCUUUCGUAUUCUCGGUUGAUUUACUCUUCUAUAGAUUGUUGAAAUCUAUGGCCGUAUUUCUUAAAACCCUGGGUGUGUGGUGUGUCCAAAUGAUGGUUUGGUCCUCAACAUUGAUUCCGAGGAUCCACAAGCUGGUUGCAUAAAUCACAAAGCACGUUAACCUGUUGGUGGCAGGGGCCAUGUUGGCUUGUACACAAUUUUUGGAUUGAUACUUUGGUACUCUGUGAGUGUAGUUCAGAGAAUAAGCGGCUCCUUCCAUGACAGAGUUCGUUUAGUUUAGUUUUGUGGUGUUAUCUUUUUGUGCAACCAAAGAUCUUUUGGUUUUUGACACUCAUUCUUCCAAGACCAAAACCGUGUUCCCACCGCCAGCUCUUUGUUAUAGAUUUAUUGUUAAGAUAAAUAUCUUGAAAAUUUGAAGUGGUUCUGCUUUCUGAUCUCCAGUUUCUUGGCAACCACUAAAGGAACAAAAUUUAAUGAUCUACAAUAUUAAUAAUUAUUCCUCUUAAUGCGUAUUAUCAUUUGGUUCUUAGCUUGAUAUUUUUAUGUAAUAUCACAAAUUUACCCAAAUUGGAAUUAAUUUUCAGAUUUUUCUUAUUUUGGAGGAACUAAACUAAGAAUAUGAGUCGAGGUUUGAAAUUUCAUUAUGUACAAAAGCUCGGUACGGUACGGUACGCCUAAUUUAGACAUAAAGUCCUCCGAAAAAUAUCUGAAAAAUAAAAAAAGUUAGGAAAUGAUUUUUAAGUUAGAAAUAAAUAUACAUUUAGUAUAGGUUUAGCUUGGCACACCGCAACUUUAAUCACAUGUUAUAAUAGAUAUAUAUUAAUUUCAAUACUAUAAACAUGUUAUAUUUACUCAUUAAUUAGUUACUUCUCUUUCAGUUAAAUAAUAGAUAUUAAAGACACUGAAUUAACCCAAAAUCGAUCAAAUUUUGAUUAAAUCAUCAUUAAAAUCAUUAAUCAUAACAUUAAAUAACUUUAAUAAAAUAUAAUUAAACAUAUUUUAUCAUCAUAAAUAUCUUUCAAUAUUUAAUAUUAAAUAUUUGACAAGUGUCUAAUUUUGAAUAAAUUAAUAUUAAAUAUAUUAAUAAUAAUAUUAAAUAUCUUAAUUAAUAUCUAAUUAAAGAAAAAGAAUACAUACACUUGAUUAAAAAGUUCUUCCUCUUCAUCCUCCCAAAUUAUCCUCAAUUCAAUUCAUAAAUCAUUACUUUGUAGAGUUUAGGAGAGUGCAAAUGUGAGAAUAAGAAAGAGAAUAUGAGAGAAAAUGAAUUUGAGAUAGUUUAAGAGAGUGUGAGAGUGAAAUGAAGUAAAAUAUGGGGGAUGAUGUAUUUAAAAACUUAUGAGAAAGGGCUCCAAUGAUCAAAUUGACUAUUGAAACAUUGAUACAUGUCAGUAACAGUCGAUUUCGACCGUUACUAACUUUUGUCGGUAAUGGUCGAAAUUUUGACCAUUAUUAAUUGUACUAGGUAGUAAUGAUUGAAAUCAACCGUUACCACCCGAUACAGCCCCGUAUCGUUCGAUACAGGCCUAAAUCAAGUGUAUCGCCCAGUAGCAGGUGGUAUGAUUUGGUAACGUAUGGGUGGUAUGAUUCGAAAUUUGAAUCCUUAUUAUAAGUUACCUUUUUCCAUGUUCACCACAAAUAUCUGCUUGCAGAAACUACCAUAUCACAAUAACAGAUAGUACAUACAAAUUCCAGUGGUUGCUUCUACAGGCUGUUUUCCAGCAAUUUGAAGUGGUGGAUAUGGAAGUUCUGACAAACUGAAGAUGCAGCAGAACAUAAGCAGGUUCACAAGUUAGAAAAGCUUCAUAGAUCAACCUGCUGGUAAGGUUGAAAGCCCUUUCCACUUUGUCCUCCCAUCCAUUGUCUGUUCUCCCCUUAUCUUGUAAAAGCCUCUUGAUCAUUUUCAUCCAGCACUUUCAAAGGGGUAUGGUGCAUCGUCUGGAAGGUCAAACUGUUACAAGAUCAAAACUAGUUGAAACAGCCACACUUCUUAUUUCUGGGCAUGUUCUAUUCCUUUGUGUUUUCAUCUAUUGCCCAUUUUUGCAUAAAUCAAGUUCACAGACAACAUUGACUUUAUAGUUCCAUUUUCUUUUGUCCGAACAUACUUUUUUUUUCUAAUAUGGUUCAUACUUCAUGGACAAUAAAUUGUCUGAAGAUAGUAGAAAAUAUGUUGCUGAGAACACCUGCACCAGUAGGAAUAUGCUAUCAAAAGCUAUUUUACGUUAUGCGAGAGCUUGCGCUUUGAAUGGAUUAUGAAUGUGGCAAUCUUCUGAAGUUCACAGCACCUUUAAUAAUCACAUUCUCCAAAUUAACAGUCCUUUUCAGGCUUUCUUCUGAUAACAUAGUUGGAGAUAUUGACCUAUAGAAUUGAAUAAGUUCUUGUGCAUAAUUCAAGUGCUAUUGUCCUUUUAAUCUCUUUUAUGUGAUUGAUCUAAAGGUUACAAUUAAUUUGCACCCCGUUGUAUGAAUGUUGUGUGGUGAUUAUUCAUUGGAUUUACUAUCAUUAAUCAUGAUAGUAACUACUUAAACACCCUUCCCUUUUUUUUGUUGUAUGGAACUUGUCUGUACUGGAAUGGAUUGGUAAUUUAUGUCACACACAUAUUAAACUUGUUGCUAAUUCUGUAUAUUAUUAUUAAUCGACUACUGACAGAAUGUGCUUACAUUUAUUUGGAAGGUUUAGAUCUUACUUUUGCUUAUUAGGUCCUUAUUUUAACUAUUUUGUAAUCCAUAGUUAUUUCAUUAGAUCCUUAUUAGUCUUGUACCAACUGGUUGCUAGCCUUGGAUGUCCUUGAUAAAUUCCUUGAAGCAUAUCCAGCUGGUUAGCAGAAAGCUGAAGGCAGGUAUCACCUUUAUGUUGAGAUGUCUUCAUGGAAGAUACAAGUAGAUACUUUCAUGAAUCACUGUACUAUGCUAUCUCUUAAGAUCAUAUUUGUUAAAUGAGUUUGAAUCUAGCACUUUCACUGUUCUAUGCAGAUUAAUGCAGCAUUCAAGCAAUACCUGAAUUUACUGCACAUUCAUGGUCUCUUCCUUGUGACCCAACUUGACCAAGAAAGGAACUUUCUUUGGCUAAGUUGGAUGGGAAUAAAGGCCUUCCGUCAUGAUGAGGCAUCUUAAGGUUUGAUGUGAGAUGUUGGAAUGUGAUUCAUGGAUGUCGCAACCUCAAGGAAGAAAUUUGGGGAGUUAUCUUCACAACAGAUCCAUUGCAAUACAAAAAGAAUGAGAUAUCUGCAAAUUGCGGCGCCCACUUCACCGUAUCUGUCAUUUUCUAGUACCAAAAAGUCACCCCUUCGCGUGGCUUCCACACGCAAUGCACGCGCCAUUUCUCUAGUGCUCGGUUGUCACCUCUUUAAUCCUCAGAAGUACGAGUUAUUCGUAGUUCGUGCCUAUUAAUGGGUGUACAGCAUGCGAAAGCAAAAGAAAAACUAGAAUAAUGACAUCUAGAAGUUUCAUAUAGAUUCUUAAAAUUAUUCGAGUCAUUGUAAAUUUGAUCUUGUUGUUGACUGUAUUUAAAUA